AAAGGAGGCGAGGCGACCGCGGCACGACCGAGUCCGCUCGGUGCGUGCUGAGGAAAGUCCGGGCUCCCCCAUGGCCAGGCCUGCUGGGUAACGCCCAGUGCGGGUGACCGUGAGGAUAGUGCCACAGAAACACACCGCCGAUGGCCGCGGCUUUUGCCCAGGCACAGGUAAGGGUGCAAAGGUGCGGUAAGAGCGCACCAGCAGCAUCGAGAGGUGCUGGCUCGGUAAACCCCAGCCGGGAGCAAGGCAAAGAACAAAGGUUGGCCAUGUGCCCGUUCUGCUUAGACAUGCCGCUUGAGGCCUGUGGUAACACAGGUCCUAGACAGAUGGUCGCCCCUGGAGAGGGAGCCAUUCCAUGGAGACCUCCCCAGGAACAGAACCCGGCUUAUGUCCUGCUUUCCAC
rfam:Candidatus Synechococcus spongiarum 15L contig113, whole genome shotgun sequence.